CAAUAGCGUAUAUUAAAGUUGUUGCAGUUAAAAAGCUCGUAGUUGGAUUUCUGGUGGGAGCGAUCGGUCUGGCGCUUAGCGCGAGUACUUGCAUCGUCUCCGGCCAUCCUUGGGGAGAGUCUGUCUGGCAUUAAGUUGUCGGGCAGAGGAUCCUCAUCGUUUACUGUGAAAAAAUUAGAGUGUUCAAAGCAGGCUUAUGCCGUUGAAUAUAUUAGCAUGGAAUAAUAAGAUAGGACUUUGGUACUAUUUUGUUGGUUUGCGCACCAAAGUAAUGAUUAAUAGGGACAGUCGGGGGUAUUCGUAUUCCGUUGUCAGAGGUGAAAUUCUUGGAUUUACGGAAGACGAACUACUGCGAAAGCAUUUACCAAGGAUGUUUUCAUUAA
rnacentral:rRNA from 1 species